CGCCUCAAAUGUUUUCAUAAACACAGCUUUGUGUACUGUUUAGCUUUUUAAAAUUAGAAAGUUGGUUCAGCUGGUUGGUGGUGCUCAGUACUCCAGUUAGCUGUAUCCAACAUGGUGGCUGGAUCACAGACUUUCUCAUUUUACAGAUAAACAUUAAAAUACAUUUCUGAAAACAUUAGAGACAAGAACUAGGCAAUGCAGUAAUAACAUCGUAAUUCAAAUUUGAUCAGUACUGCUUAGUUUGGCAGUUUGACCACAGUUCACAGAGCAGCUGAUGUGAUUGACAGCUGUGUGAGACACUCUUAAGGUAUGAUUGGUUGUUGCUGCCAUUAGACACAGUAGGAAGAGGAGGAGUGACAUGAUUUUUUUUUCACAAUCUGUCUCCUGUACUUCUUUCAGAAUAUAGUGGAAACUUCAGAAAAUUGACACAAAGUUCUUUUAAUUAAAGUUACCAAUACCAACUGUAGCUUGAGGUCCCAUGUGUUGUGAAUUCUGUUUGAAAAAUUACAUGUCCAUGUUCAUGGUUUGGAUUUGAGAGUAUCUUUGAUUAAUGUGCUCCCUAAAACUGCAACGCCAAAUUGCAAGAUAGACAAUAGACACAGUGCGUGUCCACUGGUAAAACUAAAUGUGGAAUACUAAAUACUAACAGAUGUGAAAUUUUUGCCCACAGAACAGCCCAUAACACAGUACGCAUAGCAUAGUAAAGCAAAUACUAACAUGUUUUUCAUACUUUUUACUUUAUAUUUUCUUUUGUGCAUCCCUUCCUUAGAAAUGGUUGUGUAAUGUGAUCUAUGAAAAACUACAGUAGUAAUGGAUAAAAAAAGCUUAGAGAGCUCUGUGUUGUUUCAUUUAUUGCUCUAAAACCAGUAGGCCCUAAAAGAAUAAUAAUAUUAAGUAUCAGUUAAAUGUUGGUACAAAGUAACAAAAAAACCUGCUGUUUGUUCUGUAAGUAGGUCUGUGUAAUUUUAAAGUUUUAUAAAUAAUUUAACAGUUCUGGAUUAAAUCAAAAUUUUAGAGGUUUAAAUUGGACAAUAUUUUGCCUGCCGACAUGUUACCAAGGCCUACUUACUGUCUUUUGUUUUGCCAUUAUAUGUUUGUCAUGCAAUAGUAACCCACCCUGACUUAUAAUUUGCUGAGUUUGGUUUAUUUUGUUUUGAAAACAUUAAUAUGUGAUAGAACUGUUACAUAUGUGAACAUCACACCCACUUCGACGCUGGACUCUUGAGGAGAUGAGUGCAGAGCUGAAACCCUCUGCAGGGAAGGUGUUUGUGAGUCCUCGCUAAUGAGGCAACUUUAAGUUGUGUAUCCCAUCUGCACCUGUGCUGACUUCUGUUUAAAAUGGAAAAUUGAGCAAUGUACACUUUGAUGUCAUGGGAAAGGAAAAUCCAUAGAGCCCAUGCGAAGCUGUUCACAUACCUACAAGUGCAUUUGGGCACUUAAUGUGACCGAUUAUCAAUAAAUUGUUCAUUUGAAGGGAAACAUGUUUCUUCGAUGGAAGUGAAUUGAAGAAACACGCUGCCAUGCCUUAUUGUGUUUCGAAAGGAGUUUUCACUUGAAAUUUGUUUCUGCACACGAAAAGGGAGACAGUUUGUUUAGCAACAGUGAAGACAGACCCACAUGUCGUGUGAGGAUCCCUGUUUGCUUGCAGGCCUGUUCUGAGCUCCUCAGUUGCCCAUCGUAAAUUACUCCCCCAUGAGCCUUCUGUUAUAUCCUCGCCGUUUCCUGUUGGCAUGUGAACACCUGAUCAGGAUGGAGGAGCCUCUGCUGCCUCUUGCUUACAGCCAGUUUGCAGUGUGAAACGGCGGCAGAUGCAGACAGCGGUGCAGUUCGGGAGCCGAGGGCAGGAGCAAACAGCGGCAUGGGCCAGUUUCCUGUUGUCUUCCCUGCUCGUUACUCUAAAGGUUUUUAUGUGCCAUGUUCCCGAUUGUGAGUAGGAGCUGAGGAAAUCCCAUCACCGGCCGUCACACACUCCACUCGGGAGAUUGUGGGUGACACCGCUUCGAAAUUUCCAUAACAGUUCAAGCUGUCUCACUGCAGAGGCCAAGCUGAACCACUGGGCUGAUUUGUCUGUAUUAUACUUUGCCCAGUUUGAUUUGAUAUGACUUAAUGUUUGACUCAGGGAAGAGGAUUGGCUCAGGAAUAUUGUUUGCCCCUCGUUUUUGUGCUCUCCUCUGAUUGAACCUACUCCGAGGAGACGAGUGAAGAAGCAAGUUUGCUGUGCUGAAGCUGCGUUCUGUCGUCAUCUGACGUCUGCUGCAGCAUGGAAACGAAACACCGACAGGCCAGAUUGUUUUCCCCUUUUGACACUGCUGGAAGGAAUCCACGCUGCGGACCCACACCCUCCCUCAAAUUCUUCUAGGAGACCUGUUUAUUUAGCCAGUGCCCUUUUACAAGUUUAAGGCCACUUUACACAGGAAAGAAAGUUUUCCCAUUUCCUCCUGCCAUUCAGUUUAGUCUUAGCAAUGUGAGAGCAAAUGCUGUGUGCUGUCUGAGAAGGACCCCUAACUCCACUAGAGAAACAUUGCCAUCUUGAGGACCAUGGAGCUCCUGCUUGCCUCUCACAGUCUACCUGACAAAUCACACUCAUGCACACCCAGGCCAGAGCCGGUAUCACUGCUGGUAAGGGUAAGGAGAAAAAGUGCUGCCCGUCAGGUCUGUAUCGGUGGCUAAGGCAGCAGUGGUAAGUAUCAAGUGUAAACACCACAUGUUUUUCAAUAACAAAUGCAAAAUGACACAUUGAUUUUCAGCCAAAGUCAUUACAGAGGUUAUUUCCACCGAUGGCGACUGGCACAAAUUCAAAAGACAUUUCUCACAGCAGAUAUUGUGUCUUGUCACAGUAGGAAAAUCACUGUUAUAUUCAAGUGUUGCAGUGGGUGACAGUGAGCCAGGAUGCACAGUAACCGGAGCCUAAAAUCAGUGCAGCUAAAUGGAAUUCACUCUGUUAAUUACAGUAUUUACUCCUGUCAUUUUCCUACUGUGACAUGUCAACAUGUUUUAUGUGAAAAGGUCCUAUUGUGUAAGAUAGCAGGACCGUUCACUGCCCACAGUAACCCAUUGCGUGCAGUAAUGCUCCAAUCAAGAGCUUGAGAAUCAACAACAACCCAAAAAGAUAAAUUGUCCUAAUUACUCAACAUGUCAGUACCUUGGAUAAUAUACCCAUGCAGAGGUGCUUGUUUGCAGCAAAAUUUAAGUUAAAUGUUGAUUUUUUUUACAGCAAACCUGCUGCAGCUGUUGAACCCUCUGCCUAUAGAGUUCCAAUGGACAGCCGCUGCAGCACCAGUAUGUUUACAGGCCGCCCAUCAGUUCUCUACUGUAAGUACCCUUUUUUGUUGUGAUGUACAGUACAUUAACAAUCUGAACUGACUGAAAAUGUUUUUUGUGUGUGUUUGUAAACCAAAGAGAAAUAAUUACAAGCAUUUGUUGGGCUUAGUUUUAAAGCCAAAGUGAAAAUUCAUGUAAUACAAUAGAUGAACCACCAACACAUGUAUUCACAUCAGUGUGUCUAAAAAAUGUGUUAAUAAAACACGUUAAAGAUGAUGCUACUUGUGGGUGUUUUCCUUGCGGAGAGAGAGAGACGUCAGCGUGGUACCAGUGCAUUUAUUGCUCUGAGUCGUCUGAGUCAAACGAGAACAGACUUGAGUCACAUGUCAGUAUAUUAGCUGACAACGCACUGUUAAAAGGCUUAAAAAUUAUCUCUAAGGACUUUGAACAGGAUAUCUAUGAUUGGUUAAGUAUAUUUUCUAAACUAUCAGUUCACAAAUCCAGGAGCCAGAGUAGUGACAAAACAGUGCUUUACCCAUAAAUGCGUUUGCUGCAACAAAAAUAUAAGAUCAAACACCAUCAAACAGAACUUAGUUCAUUAUCAGUGGCAUUUAGAAAAUUAACAGACAUACAAAUUAUUUCAAGAUACUGCUUUAACAUACAGUUCCUUAAAAUAUCCAGACAACUAACAAGUAAAAUAAUCCUAAACCCAAAUCUACUUUUAAAGCAUCAAAUGCAUUUCAUAAAAGAUUUAUUGUGGUACAAAAUAUUCAGUUGCCCUCAGUCACAAAGCAUACUGGUAGUGAAUGCAACUCGUGAGCCAAAAGAGCUUUUGUGCAUGACUGUCGUUAUUGAAACAAUACAAAGAGCCUUGCUCAGUAUUGUGAAAGUGAGAUGAGGGGGAAUAAUUUGGUACUAAUUGAGACAGCAUUCUUUGAGUAGAAGCUUUCCUCCGCCACAAGAGGGCAGUGUAACAAAAGCCAUCCACAC